AGAGAGAGAGAGAGAGAGAGAGAGAGAGAGAGAGAACGAGAGAACGAGAGAAUGAGAGAUAGAUGAAAAGAGGGAGGGCUGGAGACUUGGCUGGCAUCCAGACAUAGCUGGCAUGCAGUGCCCCAUGCCACACACAGUGUGUUUCCGGUGUCCUGGAACGCACCCUGUCUGGUUGCCGGGCGAAUGAGCUUGUUGGGAGAACGAUGUUCACCCGCACCUGUAUCCCAUCAGUAAUCUGCACACCUGUCCUGAUCAUCACCUCUCCCUUUCAAAAGCUCUGACCUGACAUCCAUUCCCUGCCGGAUUGUUAGCCAUGAACAUUGCUCAACCGGAUCAUUUACCCCAUUCCCGCCUGGUCGUCGGAGAAUUCCGCUACCCCAUUGGAUCCACCUAUUUACUCCCAUCAACUCACCACCGCUGCCCGCUACGCCACCUGGAUAUAUCUACCCAUUCAUAUUCACUUGUAAAUAAAUACUCACCUUCUUCCUA